AAACAUGAAUUGUAUUAGUUUUGCAAAAGCUAAGGAGGAUUAUGUUGUAAUUCCAUGUUUU
rnacentral:tRNA from 1 species